rnacentral:rRNA from 1 species
UACGGAGGGAGCUAGCGUUGUUCGGAAUUACUGGGCGUAAAGCGCGCGUAGGUGGUUCAGUAAGUUGGAAGUGAAAUCCCCGGGCUCAACCCCGGAACUGCCUUUGAAACUAGAUGGCUUGAAUCUUGGAGAGGCGAGUGGAAUUCCGAGUGUAGAGGUGAAAUUCGUAGAUAUUCGGAAGAACACCAGUGGCGAAGGCGACUCGCUGGACAAGUAUUGACGCUGAGGUGCGAAAGCGUGGGGAGCAAACAGG